rnacentral:misc_RNA from 1 species
UCCCAGUUAAUCUGGGCAGUCUGAUUUGAGUGCUCGGCAAAUGCCGGUGGCAACAAACCACAAGGGUUGCGCUCGUUGCGGGACUUAACCCAACAUCUCACGACACGAGCUGACGACAGCCAUGCAGCACCUGUGUAAAGCGCGUGUUUCCACGCUGCCCGGCUUUCACCGGGGUUACAAUACAUGUCAAGCCCUGGUAAGGUUCUUCGCGUUGCAUCGAAUUAAGCCACAUACUCCACCGCUUGUGCGGGUCCCCGUCAAUUUCUUUGAGUUUUAGUCUUGCGACCGUACUACCCAGGCGGCACGCUUAUCGCGUUAGCUUCGGCACAGGAAGGGUUGCUUCCCACACCAAGCGUGCACCGUUUACAGCUAGGACUAC